rnacentral:lncRNA from 10 species
AGUUGAAAGAAAGAAAAAAGGAAGGAAGAAAGGAGGAAGAGGCAGGCACAAGACAAAAUGAAUCUCUCCGCUGUGCACAUGGAGCCUUAGCUCUGAUUCCAGUUGAGCAAAAUUAUGAAGAAGAUGAUUCCCCAUAUGGAUGACAGAUAAACACCCUGUGGCGAGUCACUCACUCCCGAAAGGCCCUCUGAAGGAUCGCGCAUGUCCUGACUGCACAGCCUGCUCCUGAAUAAAUGGAUGUUACUACUACUAGUACUGCUUCUGCUGCCAAGUUUUUGAGCACAUAACCAGGAUGACAACCACAGUUCCACAAAGCUCUGAUAAAACAUCAAAAAGAAACUCACCACCAAGGAAACCAGAGAAUCCUUUCUUGUCUUGAGUGAAUGGCAAUGAUCUUGGUGGCCAAGAU